rnacentral:lncRNA from 1 species
CGACAAGUUGAAUAAACAACUCCGCAAACGACGAAAGCAACAUGACAUGAAAAUAUUGGCUCAAAGAACAAUGAAAAUUCCAUAACUAUAUGGAUAUGGUGGGGGUGGGGGCUGCGGAAAAGGGAGCUUUUUCUUUUUUUCUCAUCCCAUUCCUCUGUACUCUUCUUAUGAAAAAGAAGACAAAGCUAUCUUCCAUGGAAUUUGUAAAAAGGUUAUCUUCAUCGAUUAAUGAAAAGGGA